rnacentral:rRNA from 1 species
CAGUCGAACGGCAGCACGGGAGCAAUCCUGGUGGCGAGUGGCGAACGGGUGAGUAAUAUAUCGGAACGUGCCCAGUCGUGGGGGAUAACGCAGCGAAAGCUGUGCUAAUACCGCAUACGAUCUCUGGAUGAAAGCGGGGGACUCGUAAGAGCCUCGCGCGAUUGGAGCGGCCGAUAUCAGAUUAGCUAGUUGGUGGGGUAAAGGCCCACCAAGGCGACGAUCUGUAGCUGGUCUGAGAGGACGACCAGCCACACUGGAACUGAGACACGGUCCAGACUCCUACGGGAGGCAGCAGUGGGGAAUUUUGGACAAUGGGCGCAAGCCUGAUCCAGCAAUGCCGCGUGCAGGAUGAAGGCCUUCGGGUUGUAAACUGCUUUCGUACGGAACGAAAAGGUUUGCCUUAAUACGGUGGGCCCAUGACGGUACCGUAAGAAUAAGCACCGGCUAACUACGUGCCAGCAGCCGCGGUAAUACGUAGGGUGCGAGCGUUAAUCGGAAUUACUGGGCGUAAAGCGUGCGCAGGCGGUUAUAUAAGACAGAUGUGAAAUCCCCGGGCUCAACCUGGGACCUGCAUUUGUGACUGUAUAGCUAGAGUACGGUAGAGGGGGGAUGGAAUUCCGCGUGUAGCAGUGAAAUGCGUAGAUAUGCGGAGGAACACCGAUGGCGAAGGCAAUCCCCUGGACCUGUACUGACGCUCAUGCACG